rnacentral:rRNA from 1 species
GACGAACGCUGGCGGCGUGCUUAACACAUGCAAGUCGAACGGAAAGGCCCUGCUUUUGUGGGGUGCGCGAGUGGCGAACGGGUGAGUAACACGUGAGUAACCUGCCCUUGACUUUGGGAUAACUUCAGGAAACUUGGGGUAAUACCGGAUAGGAGCUCCUGCUGCUGGGUGGGCGUUGGAAAGUUUCGGCGGUUGGGGAUGGACUCGCGGCUUAUAAGCUUGUUGGUGGGGUAGUGGCUUACCAAGGCUUUGACGGGUAGCCGGCCUGAGAGGGUGACCGGCCACAUUGGGACUGAGCUGCGGCACAGACUCCUACGGGAGGCAGCAGUGCGGAAGAUUGCACAAUGGGCGGAAGCAUGAUGCAGCACCGCAGCGUGCGGGAUGACGGCCUUGGGGUUGUAGACCGCUUUCGGCUGAGACGAAGCGUGAGUGACGGUAAUGGGUAAAGAAGCACCGGCUAACUACGUG